rnacentral:lncRNA from 1 species
AGGAAGCCGAGGACCAGAGAGGAGACUUGUAAAAACUGCAGAAAAGCAACAGGUAACCGAACUAGGGUCGUGACAGAAGGUUUGGAGAUGAUUGGAUGGGGCUCAAGGGCUUUAGAAGGUCUACUGGUCAGGUGCUGCUCUCAGGCCGUGCAGGUGCUGAGCAGGAAGAGGAGUCACGGAGGCCAGUACAAUGAACACACUGUGAACAGAAGACUCGGGAAUUCAGAGAUGUGAGUGUGAACUGAUAUUCUGGAAUGAAGGUAGGACUGGGCAAUAGAUUUGCUGGUUGUUGGCGUGGAUAUAAUGCACAAGACUAAAUGGAAUUGUCAAGGAAGAUACCAUAGAAAGAAGAACAGUAGUCCUCUUUGCCCCAGUAUCAGUUAACGAAGUCAGCCAGUCUAAAAAUAUUAAAUGGAAAUUCCAAAAAUAAGCACUUCAUAAGUUUUAAAUUGUGCAGUGCUUUGAGUGGUGUGAUGGAAUCUCAGAUCUUGCCUCUACCCCAGGCAUGAAUUUUCCUCUGUCCAUGUGUACAUGAUGUAUAUGCUACCCUCCUGUAGGUCACUAAGUAGCCAUCUGUAAGCAGGUGUUUUGUCAGCUUUUUUCACUCCUGUGACUAAAAGAUUCUACCAGCACAACUAUACAGGAGGAAACGUUCAUCGGGGGCUCACAGUUUCAGAAGUUUUCAUCCAUCGACAGAACACCCCAUUCCUCAGGGCUCAAGAUGAGGCAGGACAUCAUGAUGGAGGAGUGUGGCAGAGGGAAUCAGCUCACAUGGUGAUCAGGGAGCAUAGAGAGGUCUCCACUUGACACACAAAUAUAUACCCCAAAGCCAUGCCCCCAACUCCUACCCUACCACUUCAGUUACCACUCAGUUAAUCCCUACCAGGGGAUUAAUUCACUGAUUGAGUUAAGACUCUCAUAACCCAAUCAUUUCUCCUCGGAACCUUCUUGCAUUGUCUCACAUGUGAGCUUUUGGGGGACACCUCACAUCCAAACCAUAACAGCAGGUCAACUGUCACAGUAUCAUAGUGCUUAUGUACAAAUAACCUUUAAUUUACCUAAUAAUGGCCCAAAAGCACAAGAGUAGCAAUGCUGGCAAUUCCAAAUGCCAAAAAAAAAAAAAAAAGACAUUAAUUGCUUCUUUUAAGUGAAAGGGUAGAAAUAAAUACCAUAACAUAUUUUGAAAGAAAGAUUGCACUCACAUAAUUUCAUCACAGUAGAUUAUUAUAAUUGUUCUUUUUAAAUUAGUCAUUGCUAAUCUCUCACUGUGCCAAAUUUAAAAAUUAAACUUUAUCUCAGGGGUGUAUGAGUUAGAAAAAACAGCUUUCUUGAGUGUAAGUAACAUGUAGAACAUUCUUCCAUUUGGAGCAUAUGUUUUGAUAGCUUGUUCUUCAGUCUCCAGGCUUCAUGAAUGCUGGGCAAACACUCUGCCACUGAGCGUAUAUGCAGCCCCUUGAUCAUUUUUGACAAACAUACACAGUCCAGUGGUCAUUACUGUAAUCACAACAUAGACUACUUACAUCAACCAAAUACCUUCACUCAUGACUUCGUGGUGUAGGUUGAUUUUGGUUGGAUCACAUUGCAGAUCCACUAAAGAAAAACUGAGACUUGCUAUGAAUUGGGUGUUCAAUGUGGGAGAGGAAAGUCAAGAGGAACUCCAAGCUUUUGUCCUCAGAAACCAGAUACAUGAAAUGCACCACUAUUAGGUGUAAAUGAUCAGAGUCUUGUGGCAAAAAUCAAGACUUCUGGUUAUGAAGGAGGAGUUGACUUAUGCAAGACAGAACUUUACCUGUGAGUAAGCACUUAGAAGACUGGUCACAAGAGAAAGCAAGGAGAUUUUCAUUGAAAUAACAAUGAGGUUCAAUUAUACAUAUUAAGCUCCUGGUCACUGAAACAUGUGUUUAUUAUAUAUCACGUGUUUAUUAUGUAUAAACUACAACAAAUAUGAAGAAAAUAAGAGGGUCUGUCAUACUGUACAAAACCACGGUUGACUUUGCGUGUACAGCCUCUCCAUGACAACUUCUCAUGCACACAAACAUAAAUUCACAUUUCUUUCUACAAAGACAUCAACACUUGUAAUCUUUUUGACUGGUCCUUCUCUACAUUGAUAACAUCUUCUCUCAAGUGGUUGUACCCUAUUGGAUGCUCAGAUAUAAUUUAAGCAACCCCUAUUGACCGGCAUUGGGCUAUUUUGAAUUCUUGGUUCCUAUAAACAACAUUGGGAUGAGUAUCCUGAUACAUAGAUCCUUGUAAGAAAAUGCAUUUGUUUCUUAGAGAUAAACUCAGAGGUAAGAUUUGAGAAUCAAAGAGAACAUGCCUUUUGAAGAUUAAAAUCAGCAUACUAUAGCAACACAGCCACAUCAAUGUUUAUAGCAGCACAAUUCACAAGAGCUAAAUUAUGGUGGAAUCAACCCGGAUACCUGUCAAUAGAUGAAUGGAUGGAGAAACUGUGGUGUAUAAAUACAAUGGUCUUCUACUCAGCCAUAAAAGAGAAUGAAAUUAUGGAAUUUGCCAGUAAACAGUUAGAAAUGGAGAAUAUCAUGCUAAGUAAAAUUAGCAAAACUCAGAAACUCAAAGGUCGAAUGUUUUCUCUCACAUGUGGAAGCUAGAGUGAAAUAAAGGGGGAGAGAAGGAAAGGCUAACAUAAAGAACCAAUCAGAUAUGAACUAACGGACGGACGAGCAAAAGAAGUUUGGUAGAGAAGAGAGACUGGGAGGGGGGAGGGACGACUGGAGGGCAAAGGGGGGUUGGGAACUGAAACUGAAUCGCACCCACGUCUGAGUUUGUCACAUGAACCCAACUACUGUAUGUAGCUAUAAAGCUCUAAUAGAGAGAGAGAAUGUGCUUUUUAAAGGUUCUUCUGUCACAGUCACUUGAGUGCCUCCCAGAGAGAACACAAGCCUCAUGUUUCAGUCAGUCUUUUCACUGCUGUGACAAAAAGAUGGCAUAAGAACGAUUCAAGAGUGAAGUGUAUUUGGGGGCUCUUGGUUUCAGAGGUAUCAGCCCAUGGUCGGCUGACUGCACAGCUCUGGGCCCCAGAUGAGGCAGGACAUCAUGGUGGAGGGACCCAGCUGAGGACAGGGCCACAGGAAGCAGAGAGAGAGAGAGCUCUGCUCAGGAAGGACAAAAUAUAGACCCCAAAGGCACACCCCCAAUGACCCACCACCUCCAGCCACACCCCACCUGCCUACAGUUACCACCUGGUUAAUCCACUUAGUGGAUUAAUGCACUGAUUAGGUUAAGGCUCUCAUAAACCAAUCAGUUCACCUCCGAAAUUUCUUGCAUUCUCUCACACAUCAUGGACGCCAACACCUACACCAUAGCACGUCUCCUCCUGCUGAGGAGUGAAAGCCCUCUCAUGUCCACAUCUGCUGAACUGGGCUAGCAUCCUGCUUUCUAACUUUUCAGAUGGCCUUGUUGAGAUGCACACUAGAAAUCUCCCCUUGCUCAUGCCACAUUGCCUCAAGAAUAUAUCAUUUGUCUUAGGAAGUAUCUAGAAACUUCUGGAGGAUAUUCCCAGUGGUAAUAUUUUGGUUUUAGGGUUUUUCCCAGAGAACAAAGAAACUAGAAGAUCAUCAAGGUGAUGUUCUCUGUAUAUUUUGUACCCUGUUGAUUAUACAUUUUAUUUUCUCUGAUUAGAAAAUGGAGUAAUGGAACCUAUGGAGAUACCUAGCAACCAUGUAAAAAUCCAAGUUUAACCAACCUAGGGAGACCCAGAUCUGCCCCCAUGUGAGACUAAAAUUAUGUCCAAGUUUUAUUUCCCUUUGUUUUGGAUUUGUUUUUAAAGUACUAAUAGGAAGGCUUUACCUCUCAAUCAGUUGAAAGUAAGCAUGGGAAUUUUAAGAAAGAAAUUUUAUUAUUUGAACUAUAAUUUGAGUUUGGGGCAAACGUUUAGGUAUUAAUUUAAUUCUAGACAAAUAAACUAUAGAAUUCUACGAUUUAUUACAGGUCUAAUUUGCUAAAAUGGAGUGCAGUAAUAUUUCUUCCAGUAUUUUAGCAGAAAUUUAAAAUGUGUAUUUACAGCACUUAGUCACUUCCCUUAAAAAAAAUAAAUUUUUUCAGCUCCCAUGUAAAGUGGCCAGAUGCCUAAUUAGGAAUCCUGAAACUCAGCUGCGUUGAGUUAAUAAGUACCCGUGGCAAGUAUUAACCAGUGUAUCCCAUUCCUCAACAAUGAGGAAAAAUACUUAUACAUUUAUGAAAUGAGCCGUCAAAGGGUUUGGUAAAUUUCUAAAUAAGAGCAUUUAUUUUCCUCUCCUGCUAACCUAUGCCAUGGGAGAAAUCAAACAUGCCUGGAUUUUCCUAUUUCAUUUUUUUGCUUUCUACCCUCAAUCUCGUCACCCUCAGGACUUUUAUUUUUUUCCUGCACUAAAACUUUCUACAGUUGCUUUCAGCUCAAGAAAUGUUAUAGAUGUUGGAGUUCAUGGUUUUUUUGUUUCUUUAAGGACAGAAAAUAUUAGCUAUUCUUAAGUUAAUUGUGUGGAGGUGUGUGUGUGUGUGUGUGUGUGUGAUUUGCUAAUUUUAUAUAAGUUUCCCCACUUUAAAGGCUUUGUGGUGUAAAUCAGAAUGAGCAAAAAUUUUGGAACACUUACUUAGUCAUUUCUUCCCACAGCUGAGAAUGUUUUUACCCCCCAAAGAGGAACAACAGAGUUGCAAAUACGCUAGUUUAACUUUACUGACAUGCUUGGUGGAACUUGGCUGAAGUUGCACACUUUUCGUGACAUGUGACAAACUGCUAGAGGUUCUGGAGCUUAGUUGUUGUCUGGUGCUAAACUAAUAAAUCCAUGUUUACCCAAUCUUUAUGCUUAUUUUCCAGGAUCUGGGAGACAAAUGCAUUUAUGUUUUGUUAGGAAGGACAAUGAAACCCCAUAGGAAAUAAAAGUAAUAGAGAAUUGUUAAAACCUCACCAAGUGUUAGCAAGAAAUUAAUCACCAUGGGGUACAGAAUACUUACCGGAGGGCAACCUAGUAACUGUGGCCACACUGCCUGGUUCAAAUCCUCCUCUGGCUGCUUAAACUCCUCAGGUCUCAGUUUCCUCAAUAAUAAAAUAAGGAGAACGGUGGUACCUGCUUCAUGGGGUUACUCUGGAAUCAAAUAAAUGCAUAGAAUAGAGUCGAGCCCUUAAUAAAUGCUUUUUUUUGCUUUUUAAUUUUAUUUUAGGUGUUUUCAUUUUAUUUUUAACAAACACAUAAUAUUCGUACAUAUUCAUAGGGUGCAGUGUGAUGCGCACAUUGUAAAAUAAUCAGUCAUAUCAGGGCAUUUAGCGCACCCACCACCUCAGGUGUUUAUCGUUUCUUGUAUCUAAUUCCCCUCUUGCAGCUGUUCUGAAGUCCACAUUACUGUUGACUACAGUCAUCAGUGGUGCAAUGCCACACAGAGCUCAUUCCUCAGGUCUAACUGCAGCCCUGCACCGCGGGCCAGCUCCCUUUCCGGUGACCACCGUCCUGCCCUCACCUUCUUUGAGACUGACUUGUUUAGGUUCUACACAUGAGUGAGCCCCUGCGGCAUGUGUCCUUCUGGGGUUCGCUUACUUCCCCUAACAGUGUCCUCCACGUUUAUCCGUGUUUCACAAAUGGCAGAAUUUCAUUCUCUUGGGGCUGGAUGGUUCUGUACUGUGUGUGCACACCGCAGUUUUAACCCAGUCACUUAGGCUGCGCCCACAGCGUGGCUGUGGUGUGCGGCCCCGUGAUGAACACGCAGUGCAGCUGCCCUGUGACACACUGAUCCCGUUUCCUUCGCACGUGUACCCAGUGGUGAGAUUGCUGGGUCAUGGUUUUUAUUUUUAACUAGUAAUUUCCCCAAACAAGAGCAACCUGCCUAGAUUAUUGCUAGUGGAAUACGUAUAUUUAUCUUACUAAUUAGAUUGUUAGAAUGUUGGAGAAUAAAGACAGGGUCUUGUCUUUCUUUUGUAGCUCUCUUUUUGAGCUGCGUAACCAACAGGAGAGCCAGAUUCUGUAAUGCCACCAUCUCAAGUGAGUACUACUUUAUCACUGGCAGAGACGAGGAAAAAACAAAGAACUCUUUCCCAGUUCGUCUGGAGGAACCAAAGGGGAAAGUUGACUGUUUCUCAUCACUUAUGAGUAUCAUGACUAGAAACUGAAUUGACUCCUCAGCCGUGUUUUCUCAACCCACAGUGCUUCUGAAAAGAAAUAUUUGUCACUUCUCGUGUCUGCUCUGUCCUAUGAAAAAUAGGUGGGAUUAAGAACUAAACAAAAGUGCCAACAACGAAGGAAGGGCAGAACCAGUGGCCACCACUCAGCUGGCCUUGGUUCUGAGGCCAUCUGUAAGACAACACUGCCACCUGUUGGAGAGAAAGAGCGAGUCGGUUGUGAUUAUUAGGGACAGAGUUGCUGGUUGCAGUAUGAGAAAGAAAAAGGAGUGGAAAAGCCGCCCCCUGCUGAAGCCUCCCCAGGAGCGCAGAGGAGAGGUCCUUCCCCCACAGCUCGCUGAAGUCUGAGGCCUGCUUUCCCCUCCCACGCCCUGGGGAGGACUUCAGCUCCACCUGGGGGUUUGCUCUUCUGCAUCCUCACACCUGGUAUAUGCACCUGCCUCCUGAGGAACUGCUGGAGGCCAAGAGUGACAACCGCUAACACCUGCCACUUAAAUGGGGCGAGACUUUACUUCUUCAAAGCUUUGUUUUUAACUGACACACACUAAUGGUACAUAUUGAUAGGGCCCUAUGGGAUGUUUUGAUAGUCAUGUGCCUUGUAUACUGAUCCGAUCAGGGCAACGCACAUAUCCAUCACUUCAGGCUCUGCAGAGUCUCUGUGGUGAGAAGACCCCACAUCCUCUCUUCCAGCUACUUACAUUACACUAUUGCUAAUUAUAGAACCCCAGGACCGCGGUAACCCCUGUUCUCUACCUCUAGGAGAUCAGCGUUUUUAGAUUCCACAUGAGUGAGUUCGUGUGAGUUUUGUCUUCCUAUGGAAGGGACAUGACUUCUAAUAACUCAGAUGACGAUUUUAACAAGUCAGCCAAGAUGGGUCCCUGUUUGUGGGGCUUCAGCCAAGUUGCUCAUCUCUGUUCCUGUCAUUGCUACACAGUCAUAAUCUCUGAAAUGUUUCCAAGAAAAAUGAAUCAGAGUCUGAUACUCCGAUGGUGAGAUGACAUGUGAAUAUUAGUCCCUGACCUGGAGAUCAGAACUGCUUUUGUGGGAUGUCUUCAGAGCUAGAAGCCUAUAACUUCUGCACCAGACAGCACCUUGCCACUAACGAACACAUUCAUCUACGGUGGAAAUGCUCACCCCAUUGCUUUCCCAUUGCUAGCAAGCAAACAGGUAGGAGAGAAAAUCUGGAAUGGCCUGCUGACAUUGAAAACCCAAGUAGGCGUGGAGGUGGGUAAUGAGAGAACAUUGAAGAACAGGAGGGAUCGAAAAGAACCAGGCAUCUCAGAGAACAGAGGAGAUCUGAAGGAAAUAAGGACCUGUUUUUUGUCUUUGGGAGAUUUUUUUCCCAGGAACUCCUUGGGUUGAUUUCCUGACUGCAAAGAUUAUCCUAUCAGGGUAAAGUGUGUGUGUGUGUGUUUUCAUUCCAAAUAGCAGACACCAGUUCUAUGAGUGCACAAGGUAAUGUGUGAUGUCACCUGAGUGGCGUGAUUCAGAAGUUUAUAGGUCAUAAAAUUUCCAGUUGAGACAAACAAUGAAAAAUAGCAUGAGGAAGCACAAAUUGCAAAGACGAGGGCAAGGAAAACUCAGCCACAUCAGAAAUAGAGAGCCAGACUCUAGGAGCCAUUAGGAGCAUUCUUUCCCUUCUUAUUCUUUAGUUGCAUAGAACAAUAGUCGUUCCUGCCCCAUCUGGAGUUAGGCACGACCACAUGACCUACACCAGUGAAAGGAGAGGGACGCAGUGUGUUUUAAUUCUAGGUAAAGCUGUAAAAGCCAGUAUAAAAGUCACUGCAUAUCCUUUUCCUGCCUCAGCAAUUGUGGAUCUGAAUAUUAAGAUGGAGCAUUUCUCAUUCUGGUCUCUGGGUAACCAAGAUGAUGAGGCCCCAAGAUGCUGAUUCGCAUUUGCUAUAUAUAUGUUUUUUAUAGUGUUAAGCCAUCAAGAGGUUUGUAUGUUUGUUACUGCAGCAUAACCUAGCCCAUCCUGACUAAUACACAGGAUUCCCAUGGGUUAUAUAAAGUAAUAACUAAAAAACAUAAAAAUACAAAGGAAAAUCUUAAAUAAUUUUAAAAUCUAAAGCAUUCAUUUUGGGAUAACCAAAGGAUAGGGAUUUAUUUAGUAAGCACAGAGAAAUAUUUUAUGUGUCUAAAAUUAGUAUGUGUAUGUUUCAUAAAGUUAUUUUUGAUCCUUAGCUGUCUUCCCAUUGAAGAGUGUAUUUUUUCCUUAUUUUCCCAACUCCAAAAGCAGUGGUAAAAACACAGGGUAUUUUUCAGGUAUCUCCUUUCUCUCUGUGUUACAAAUACUCUUUCUCAUUUUCCACACUGGAAAGUAUAGCAUCAACUCAAUUCCUUGCUUCUUGUGUCCACAUAUCGUCUCUUUAUAUAGAAGCCAGAGAGAUUUUAUCCCCUCCAUGCACAAGGCCAAUGGUUCAAUCCCCAGCACCACACACACACACACACACACACACACACACAUACGCAAGCCUUAAGCUGGACUACAUCACUCCUCUGACUGGUGUCCUCCAAUGGUUCACCAUCCACUCAGGAAAGUCGGCUCCCACAGGAGCUUCUAAGGUCCUCUGGGACCUGGCUCUCAGCCACCUCUGCUUCACUUUCUCUCUCCUUACCCCUGGGCACAGCUUCCUGAGUAUGCAGAGCAUGUCCUUGACUCGGGCCUCUGCUUGCUCAGCUGUGCCAAUGGCUGCUUCUGUGGUGUGGGGUCCUCCUUCCUGAUCACUCUCUGCACUCCACAGGCUCCGCCCUCCCACGGACCCUGAUUUGUUUUUCUUGGAGGAGUCAAUGCCAGUGUAAUGGAGUGUUAUUUGCCUCUGUGUGCAUUCAUACCCUGGUUCCCGUACCUAGAACAUGAGCUCCUGGGAGUCGGGUCGUGUGUGUGUGUGUGUGUGUGUGUGUGUGUGUGUUGUUCGCCGUGGAGCUUGUCCACCUGGAAAAGGAUCCUGUGCGUAGCAACUGUUUGAUAAUGAACCUGGAGCAUUCUCUCCAUGCUGGACUUCUCUGCUGUGCUGCGGGGCUUAGAAUUCCCCUCUACACCCCUGAAUUUGCCACGAGAGCGCUACCACUGACGUUCCCGGAGAAAGCCCAGGGCAGAACUGCACUUGCCCAUAAAGGAGACGGCAAAAAGGGAAAUUUGUGUGUGUGUGUGUGUGGGGGGGUAACAUUAAGUUGAGUUCCAAAUUUUAUUUUUCAGGAUAUAAGAUUAUGGCCUUGUUUUUGGUGUUAACGUUCCUUUCAUUUAUGAAGGGACCACUGCGCUUGGUGACAGCUCGCGGGUUUGUUGCUUACUUGCAGCAAACUUCCUUUUGACUGUCUUUACUUGGAAAGGUAAAGAGUGGGACUCCUCCCUAAUUCUCGGGUUUUCAAUGCUCUGGAAUGGGCUAUUUAGCAAGGCAGGGAGCUGAAGCCCACAGAGACUGCCUCCUGCUGGCUCGCAGACCUAGAUGCUAGAACUGCGGCCAGGCCUCCUUCGUCCACUGACUCCUCCUCAUGAGGCCCCUUGAGGAUAACCUCCGCCCCACCCUGGAGUGUGUCACCUGGCCACAUCGCUCUUUCGAGCAGUUAGCACUUUGGGGGUCCAGUAGAAACUCAAGGCUCUUCCUUCUCA